GACGAACGCUGGCGGCGUGCUUAACACAUGCAAGUCGAACGGAAAGGCCCCCUUGUGGGGUACUCGAGUGGCGAACGGGUGAGUAACACGAGAGUAACCUACCCUUGACUUUGGGAUAACUUCAGGAAACUGGGGCUAAUACCGGAUAGGAGCUCCUGCUGCAUGGUGGGGGUUGGAAAGUUUCGGCGGUUGGGGAUGGACUCGCGGCUUAUCAGCUUGUUGGUGGGGUAGUGGCUCACCAAGGCUUUGACGGGUAGCCGGCCUGAGAGGGUGACCGGCCACAUUGGGACUGAGAUACGGCCCAGACUCCUACGGGAGGCAGCAGUGGGGAAUAUUGCACAAUGGGCGGAAGCCUGAUGCAGCAACGCCGCGUGCGGGAUGACGGCCUUCGGGUUGUAAACCGCUUUCGCCUGUGACGAAGCGUGAGUGACGGUAAUGGGUAAAGAAGCACCGGCUAACUACGUG
rnacentral:rRNA from 1 species